rnacentral:lncRNA from 10 species
CUUUGUUGGAUGACAGGUUGGAACAUUUAAUAGCUACUUUAUACUAUUGUUGUCUGUACAGCAGCCACAUUUUUUCACUUUCAUUUAUAUGACUUCUCUGUGCUAGAGUGACUGUGCUAUACUGGAUUCAGAGAUAUUAUUUUAUUCUUCAAUCCAUCAUAUAUGUAACCAAUGGAUAGAAUCUAUUUCCAUGGAGAUGCUUUUCCAAGAGUGAAAAUGUUUUCAUCCCCACCUUUUGUCAGGAUUGCUUCAAUAAUCAACAAAAAAUGUAUAAAUGAAGAGAAAUUCAUUACUAAUUAUUUCUCCUCUCCGAGAUCAGAUGAACAAGUAAUAUGCCUUUGCAAAUAAGGAAGGAAAAUGAUUCCCUCCACAGGUUUCCAUCUCUCCACUAAACCCAAAGAAAGGUAGGUAGGAAAUGCUACUUUCCUAAUUCAUUAUCAUUCUUUUUUUUUUUUUUUAACAUUUGUACCUGUCAGUUGUACAAAAAGCUAAAAGAAGAAGCAACUAGAAUGAUAGGAGAUGGUGAAAUGGGUAAAUGUGGUCACUCCCAGUGUGUAGUCAAAUUGAUCCUCACAAUGUCAAUU